UACGGGGGGGGCAAGCGUUGUUCGGAAUUACUGGGCGUAAAGGGCUCGUAGGCGGCCAACUAAGUCAGACGUGAAAUCCCUCGGCUUAACCCGGGAACUGCAUCUGAUACUGGAUGGCUUGAGUUCGGGAGAGGGAUGCGGAAUUCCAGGUGUAGCGGUGAAAUGCGUAGAUAUCUGGAGGAACACCGGUGGCGAAGGCGGCAUCCUGGACCGACACUGACGCUGAGGAGCGAAAGCCAGGGGAGCAAACGGG
rnacentral:rRNA from 1 species